rnacentral:rRNA from 1 species
AUUGAACGCUGGCGGAAUGCUUUACACAUGCAAGUCGAGCGGCAGCGCGGGGCAACCUGGCGGCGAGCGGCGAACGGGUGAGUAAUGUAUCGGAACGUACCCAGUCGUGGGGGAUAACUAUCCGAAAGGAUAGCUAAUACCGCAUACGUCCUGAGGGAGAAAGCGGGGGAUCGCAAGACCUCGCGCGAUUGGAGCGGCCGAUAUCGGAUUAGCUAGUUGGUGAGGUAAAGGCUCACCAAGGCGACGAUCCGUAGCUGGUCUGAGAGGACGACCAGCCACACUGGAACUGAGACACGGUCCAGACUCCUACGGGAGGCAGCAGUGGGGAAUUUUGGACAAUGGGGGCAACCCUGAUCCAGCCAUUCCGCGUGAGUGAAGAAGGCCUCGG